CAAAGCGUAGCUUAACCAAAAAGCAUCCGGCCUACACCCAGAAGAUUUCACACAUAUGA
rnacentral:tRNA from 1 species